rfam:Nicotiana sylvestris Nsyl_contig197271, whole genome shotgun sequence.
AUACCAUGGUGUGGACAUAUAACCAACAUUCCUUUAAAAUGCUCCCAUGUCUCAUGCAGUGUCUCCAUUGGUUUCUGUUUAAAGCUCAAAAUUUCAUCAAUUUGUUG